rnacentral:rRNA from 1 species
AUUGAACGCUGGCGGCAUGCUUUACACAUGCCAGUCGAACGGUAACAGGCCGCAAGGUGCUGACGAGUGGCGAACGGGUGAGUAAUGCAUCGGAACGUGCCCAGUCGUGGGGGAUAACUACUCGAAAGAGUAGCUAAUACCGCAUACGAUCUAUGGAUGAAAGCGGGGGACCGUAAGGCCUCGCGCGAUUGGAGCGGCCGAUGUCAGAUUAGGUAGUUGGUGGGGUAAAGGCACACCAAGCCAACGAUCUGUAGCUGGUCUGAGAGGACGACCAGCCACACUGGGACUGAGACACGGCCCAGACUCCUACGGGAGGCAGCAGUGGGGAAUUUUGGACAAUGGGCGCAAGCCUGAUCCAGCAAUGCCGCGUGCAGGAAGAAGGCCUUCGGGUUGUAAACUGCUUUUGUACGGAACGAAACGGCUCUGGUUAAUACCCGGGGCUAAUGACGGUACCGUAAGAAUAAGCACCGGCUAACUACGUG